UACGUAGGGGGCAAGCGUUGUCCGGAAUCAUUGGGCGUAAAGAGCGUGUAGGCGGCCAGAUAAGUCCGCUGUGAAAUCUCGAGGCUCAACUUCGAGCUGUCGGUGGAAACUGUCUGGCUAGAGUCCGGAAGAGGAGAAUGGAAUUCCUGGUGUAGCGGUGAAAUGCGCAGAUAUCAGGAAGAACACCCGUGGCGAAGGCGGUUCUCUGGGACGGUACUGACGCUAAGACGCGAAAGCGUGGGGAGCGAACAGG
rnacentral:rRNA from 1 species